CCUACGGGGGGCAGCAGUGAGGAAUAUUGGUCAAUGGCCGGAAGGCUGAACCAGCCAUGCCGCGUGAAGGUCAGUGCCCUAUGGGCGUUAAACUUCUUUUGUGCGGGAGCAAUAAUGGUCACGUGUGGCCAGACGAGAGGUACGUACUAAUAAGCAUCGGCUAACUUCGUGCCAGCAGCCGCGGUAAUACUGGGGAUGCAAGCGUUAGCCGGAUUUAUUGGGGGUAAAGGGGACGUGAGGUGUGCGGUAAGGCAGGUGGGAAAUGCCUGCGCUCAACGGGGUGAAGUGCCAUUGAUACUGCCUUGCUGGAAUGCGGAAGCGGUAGGAGGAAUGUGUGGUGUAGCGGUGAAAUGCUGAGAUAUCACACAGAACACCGAUUGCGAAGGCAGCUCACGGAUCCGCGAUUGACGCUGAUGCACGAAAGCGUGGGUAUCAAACAGGAUUAGAUACCCCUGUAGUC
rnacentral:rRNA from 1 species